rnacentral:tmRNA from 1 species
GGGGGCGUGAGGCUUCGACAGUGGGAGGCCCACAGGAUAGCAGGUCGAGGUGCCAUCUACCUCGUAAAACAGGUGGCAAAAGACAACUGCCGAAGCAGUUCCAAUUGCAGCCUAACUAAGGUUGCACAUCCAACCUGACCUCACCCCGAUGGGUUGGAAUUGGGUGACGAAAUGUCGGGGCGCUCCAAUCUUGAUGUCGAUAGAGAUUGGCUAAGAGUUAUCGACUGGCCUGACUAGCAUUCGGUCAGCAGAGGCUGGCCAGGUGAGACAAAAGAGCUGACUACGCCUGUAGUACGUUCUGGCAACCUUCUUCUGGACGGGGAGUUCAACCCUCCCCCGCCUCCACCA